AUGCUCGUUUUGGCAGCACUUAUACUAACAGUGGAAUGAUACAGAGAACAUUAGCAUGGCCCCUGUGCAAGGAUGACACGCAAAUUCGUGAAGCAUUAAAAAAACCU
rnacentral:snRNA from 1 species